GGUGCUAUCGUCUAGUGGUAGGACAGUACGUUGUGGUUUGGGCGCGCUUGCGUGCUCCGGAACAUAUUCCGUGCAAACGGCGGUUCGAUCCCGUCUGGCGCCA